rnacentral:rRNA from 1 species
GAUGAACGCUAGCGGCAGGCUUAAUACAUGCAAGUCAAGGGGGUAGCAAUACAACCGGCGCACGGGUGAGUAACGCGUACACAACAUACCAUAUACUGGGGUAUAGCUUUGGGAAACUGAAGGUAAUCCCCCAUAACAUUGCGAGAGGGCAUCUGAUUGCAAUUAAAGUUUCGACGGUAUAUGAUUGGUGUGCGUUUGAUUAGCUUGUUGGUAGGGUAACGGCCUACCAAGGCGACGAUCAAUAGCUGGCGUGAGAGCGCGACCAGCCACACUGGAACUGAGACACGGUCCAGACUCCUACGGGAGGCAGCAGUAGGGAAUAUUGGACAAUGGGCGAAAGCCUGAUCCAGCCAUGCCGCGUGAUAGAUGAAGGCCCUCUGGGUUGUAAAUAUCUUUUAUCUGGGAAGAAACCCCUCGUUUCUACGAG